rnacentral:lncRNA from 1 species
CACUGCGCCCGAAGACCUGCUUUGUUCACAUUCACCUCUCUGUCUCAAGAUCAACUGUGAGAACUGCAGGCAGAGCCAAAUUAUGGAUCUGGGACCAUGAUGGGCAGCAGGGGUCUGGUCAGUGACUCAGCUACAGAAAAUUAAAGGAAGUUUCUGAGGCAAUUACGUGCUUAACCUUUUUUUCCAAGUCAAAAAGCACUUUCUCCGAUUGCCUGAUAUGAACAUUCUACAUAUAGCAGUAUACCUUGCUAGCUUGCUAAUUUGUGGGGUGAGGAUUGUAGGGUUUCAAGCAAGGAAGUCACAAACCACAUCUGGAAUCUACAUGUUGAAGAAUGUCAGACGUGAUUCUCCUCAGAGUUCAAGGAUGCAUUUUUUUUGCUUUUAGUACACAGUUACAAAACUCAUUUUUCAUCAGCUUUAAAAGCAUUUAUGGUUUUCUAUCAAUAUGGACAAAAACCAACCGACUGAGCAAACAACGACAACAAAAAAAGCGCAAAUUCACAGCUACAGCAUGAAAAAUUCUGUUUGUCCCUCUUUGUUUUGAAGAAUGUCUGGAAAUGUACAUUGCAUUUUCUGUUUCAGAGUUCCACUGAUAGCUCCUUCAAGAUUCCUUAGACAACUACUUGUUGGUUUUUGUUUCUAUUCCUUUACCACAGCUCUAAAGCUAACAGUGUGUCUCAGAUGCAGUUUCUGAACGUUGUCUCAUACACGUGACUGUGAUAAAAGUUUUCUGGUCCACAUCAUCUUCUCGAGAGAUCUUAAAACAGUUGCAUGCAUGUUUCAUCAUAUGCAAGGCAUGGACAGAUGCUAAAUGAAGCAGCAGCAAGCUACCAGCUUUCAAACAUCAGCUAGCCAAAUCCAGCGUGACAGCCAUUCUGCUCCUCCUGAGCUCUCCUGCUUCGCUCCUUGCUCAGUCCUCUUCAGCACUGGUCCUGCUGUUCUGGGGAAAUGGUAUUCCUCCUCUAACAACUCAUGCAUAGAAGGCAUCCACAGUGUUUCCAGUUGUGGCAGAUUCCUUUAAAUCAGUUCAGGACAAAAAAUCUCUGUAAAAAAGCAUGUGUGGCAGUCUUUGGAUGACUGUUCAGUACCUAGUGACCAAAAGGUAAAGGUCCUAAGAGUCACUGGUUCAUGGGGGUCAUGGUUAGCAGUCUACAAACGCUGGUAGCACUGGAUAAUGGACAGGGAUUCGAUGCAUUGGAUCUCUACCCCAGUCAGCCUCUCUGCGACAAUGGACAAGGCAUUUCCUCCUCUUUCCCUCCAGUCACGGUCUGUCCUGUGAGUUCCCGAGGGAGGGAUUGUCUCUGAAGUGGAGGAGACACGGUGCCAGCAACAGUGGAGCCCUCAUUUGCCCAGGGUACAAGACAGAACUGUGACAAAGGACAUUAACCACCAAAAACCUGAAACGGGGCUCCAUGAAGCUGCACGUGCAUUUGGCCCUACUGACUCGUCCAUGAGCACAAAGGUCGACCUCCCUGGGGUCACUUCACAAACAGUCAUCACCCACAUAAAAACACAUCACCGAUCUAUGGUUUGCAAGCUAUUUUAUUUGCCAAGAACAAAUUGGCUUCAUAUUGUUCUGUAUAUAUAAAGCUUUUUACCUAAACCUGUAUCUGCAAAAUUUUAAGUUGUAGAAGCUGCCAGACAGGCGUUUUCAUUUUGACUUCUAUCUGCUGAGCAACAUUAAUAAACUGUAUUUCAGGAACCUGCA